CCUACGGGAGGCAGCAGUGGGGGAUAUUGGACAAUGGGGGGAACCCUGAUCCAGCGACGCCGCGUGAGUGAAGAAGUAUUUCGGUAUGUAAAGCUCUGUCAGCAGGGAAGAAAGAAAUGACGGUACCUGACCAAGAAGCCCAGGCUAACUACGUGCCAGCAACCGCGGUAAUACGGAGGGGGCAAGCGUUAUCCGGAAUUACUGGGGGUAAAGGGAGCGUAAACGGUUAAGUAAGCCUGGUGUGAAAGGGCGGGGCCCAACCCCGGGACUGCUCUGGAAACUAUUCAACUUGAGUGCAGGAGAGGUAAGCGGAAUUCCUGGUGUAGCGGUGAAAUGCGUAGAUAUUAGGAGGAACACCAGUGGCGAAGGCGGCUUACUGGACUGUAACUGACGUUGAGGCUCGAAAGCGUGGGGAGCAAACAGGAUUAGAUACCCUAGUAGUC
rnacentral:rRNA from 1 species